rnacentral:lncRNA from 1 species
AAAAUCUCAUAAAAUUUUAGGGUAUGUGAGAAACAUUAUUAGGCCCAUUUUGCUUUGGCCAGGCCCAUCAAGAGAGGCUAAACACCGUGAUGUGGUAUAAGUAGACAGAGGCACAGCGGCUACAAGUUUCUUAGGGUUUCAUCCUCUCAUGGCACACACAGCAAGUUUUCCAUUUUUUUUUUAUGUUAUUAAGUUUUUAUUCUUAUUUGUUGAUAUGUUGAUAAGAAGCAUUUGAUCUUAUAUAAUUUGAUUUGAUAUUAUUUGUAAUUGAUUCAGAUUAGGGUUUUGGCAUAUAGGGGAGAGCAGUAUGUGGCUCUGAAAUACCCGUAGGUUUUCUAUGGGGUGCCCUGCCUUUCAAACCCUUGACAUCAAAUAUGGCAUCAUAGUACGGAUUUUGUGCUUUGUGGUUGGAUUUUGUGUUGAUUUUUGAAUUUGGUCUUUGGCCAAUUCCAAUCUUCUUCCAUUCCAUCCUACAUCCUUUCUACACAAAUCCGCCUCCAAACGCCAGUACAUCACAAACACCUGCAGUCAAAUAAUGACUGCACUAAAUCCAUUUCCCAUACGAGUAGGGAAUUGGAUUCCAUGCAUUCAUCAUUUGACUGCAGGUUAAUCUCAGCCAUCCAAUUUUAUUAAAGUAUAUUAUUUAUUUGAGUUUGUUCUGAUAUAUAAAAUGCAGCUUUGAUCUCAUUAUUGAAAUUUUAGAUAUACGAUGCUAUUUCAUGGUAAUUUGUGAUUUUAUUAUACUUGGUUGGUUAAGAAAGUGAUGAUUAAAGCAGGUACUUCUGAUAUAUGGUUUGACACAUCUAGUGUUAGUUCUCUUGGUGCAGCAUGCUAUAUUGUAGUAGCUGUGCCGGGCAACUGGACUGUGUCUUCAUGAUUAAAUAAAUAAUAACUGCUAACUGAUUUUUUCACUGUCCAAGUUCUUACCACUUUGGUUAAUGAUGUUGAUAAGAUCUGAGUUUUUUUUUUUAAGAUGAGAUCAGAGCUUUCUAACUACUAUGUGUAUGUGAUUUUACCUUUCACAAAAGCAAUAUCACCAAGCACUAGCAGUCUAAAUGCUGAUUAUAUCGGUUAAUCAUUAUGGUUCAAAAGAAAACAUAUCUAUUUUGUGUAAGUUGUGGAUAAAAAUUAAAAACAUAAGAUAUUUGAAGCAAGCAUAUCUAUUUUGGCAUUUGAAAGUUGAAAUUGAAGAAAACAAUACUCUGGAAUUCAUAAAAAUGAAAAUUGACACGGGCCAUAAAGAUGCAGAAACAGUCUUG